rnacentral:rRNA from 1 species
AUAGCGUAUAUUAAAGUUGUUGCAGUUAAAAAGCUCGUAGUUGAAUUUCGGGGUCAAUAAGUUGGUCAUGCCAAUGGUAUGCACUGGCUUUAUUGAUUCCUACCUCUUGGCGAACUGUGAUGCCAUUAAUUUGGUGUUGCAAGGAAUCAGGACUGUUACCUUGAAAAAAUUAGAGUGUUUAAAGCAAGCUUACGCUUGAAUACAUUAGCAUGGAAUAAUGAAAUAGGAUGUUUGAUCCUAUUUUGUUGGUUUCUAGGAUCGACGUAAUGAUUAAUAGGGAUAGUUGGGGGCAUUAGUAUUCAAUUGUCAGAGGUGAAAUUCUUGGAUUUAUUGAAGACUAACUACUG